AGCUAACGUUGGCGGCGUGCCUAACACAUGCAAGUCGAACGCGCCGUAGCAAUACGGUGAGUGGCAGACGGGUGAGUAACACGUGGGUAAUCUCCCUCCGAGCGGGGAAUAAGCACUCGAAAGGGUGUCUAAUACCGCAUGAUGCCCUCAAACGAUAGUUUGAGGGCCAAAGCCGCAAGGCGCUUGGAGAUGAGCCUGCGUCCUAUUAGCUAGUUGGUAGGGUAAUGGCCUACCAAGGCUGAGAUGGGUAGCCGGCCUGAGAGGGUGAACGGCCACACUGGGACUGAGACACGGCCCAGACUCCUACGGGAGGCAG
rnacentral:rRNA from 1 species